rnacentral:rRNA from 1 species
GGGUUGUGAGGUUAAGCGACUAAGCGUACACGGUGGAUGCCCUGGCAGUCAGAGGCGAUGAAGGACGUGCUAAUCUGCGAUAAGCGUCGGUAAGGUGAUAUGAACCGUUAUAACCGGCGAUUUCCGAAUGGGGAAACCCAGUGUGUUUCGACACACUAUCAUUAACUGAAUCCAUAGGUUAAUGAGGCGAACCGGGGGAACUGAAACAUCUAAGUACCCCGAGGAAAAGAAAUCAACCGAGAUUCCCCCAGUAGCGGCGAGCGAACGGGGAGGAGCCCAGAGCCUGAAUCAGUGUGUGUGUUAGUGGAAGCGUAUGGAAAGGCGCGCGAUACAGGGUGACAGCCCCGUACACAAAAAUGCACAUGCUGUGAGCUCGAUGAGUAGGGCGGGACACGUGGUAUCCUGUCUGAAUAUGGGGGGACCAUCCUCCAAGGCUAAAUACUCCUGA